rnacentral:rRNA from 1 species
AUGGCCGACGUCGAGAACCCCGACCCCGACCUCGCCGCCGCGGAGCCCGACAAGGAGAGCCAGUGCGACAUUCCGUGCGGCGCAGCGUUCUGCGCCUGCGUGCUCCUUGCCGCUUCCGUCGUCCUGGUGGUGCUCUUCUGCCGCUCCGCUCACGCAUCCACGGGCGUCCGAGUCAUGGCCGCUGCCGGACUCGUCUUGGCGGUCAUGGGCCUCGGCCUCGCCGUCGGGGCCUUGUGCUGCGCCGCCAGCCUCGACUACGGGGUCCACGGGAAUUGCCUCCGGGAACAGCAGCCGCUGCUGCCCUAG